ACUAUUGCAAUUUGUAAUAUGUUAUAAAAAAAAUAAAUAUCAAAAUUUUAUGAGAUAUAAAAAUUUUAAAAAAUUAACUUUACUAAGUGAACAUCACUGUUGUAUAAUAAUAACAGUUAUUUUAAUAUAAAUAUAGAAAGUUACAACUCACAUAUAUACAUAACAAAAAAGAUAUACCUAUGCGUACAUAAACAUAUAUAUAUAUAUAUAUAUAUGUAUAUACGUUAAUAAUUAAAAAUAUGGUAAAUGUAUGCACAUAAACAUAUGUAUAUAUAUGUAUAUGUAUAUAUACAUAGAACAAUGAAAAUUUUUUUUUUUUUUUUUUAUUCUAUCACUGCUUAAGUUUAAGUGCUGUAAAUUGUAAUAAAGAAACGCAUGUAGAGCUUAAUGAGUAUGAACUAAAAAACCAAUUUAGUGUUCGCAUAUUAAAACAAUCUUCUGAAAAUUGUGGUUUAGAAUUUGAAGAUGAAGCAGAAAUUGACAUCAGGGCAUUUUCUCCAGGAGUGAAACUCAUGCCUAGUUUAUCAUCAGAUUUCGAAUUUGGAUAUGCUAAUCAGAAGUUUAUAGUCGGAAAAUACAACGUCCCUGAUUUAAAUAAAGGUUUACGAGGGAUGUGUACAGGCGAACUAAGGCGCAUAGGCAUAUCAAUUAACAAUUUAGGUAAAAUAUAUUAUGAAGUAAUAUUGAAAAAUUAUAAAAAGAAAAGCCCGAAAAGUGAAGAACUUUAA
rnacentral:lncRNA from 1 species